UACGUAGGGGGCAAGCGUUGUCCGGAAUCAUUGGGCGUAAAGAGCGUGUAGGCGGCCAGAAAAGUCCGCUGUGAAAACUCGAGGCUCAACUUCGAGCUGUCGGUGGAAACUUUCUGGCUAGAGUCCGGAAGAGGAGAAUGGAAUUCCUGGUGUAGCGGUGAAAUGCGCAGAUAUCAGGAAGAACACCCGUGGCGAAGGCGGUUCUCUGGGACGGUACUGACGCUGAGAACGCGAAAGCGUGGGGAGCGAACAGG
rnacentral:rRNA from 1 species